UCGGGAAUAUUGCACAAUGGGGGAAACCCUGAUGCAGCGACGCCGCGUGAGUGAUGAAGGCCUUCGGGUCGUAAAGCUCUGUCGUAUGGGACUAACAAAAUGAAGGUACCAUGCAAGAAAGGAUCGGCUAACUUCGUGCCAGCAGCCGCGGUAAGACGAGGGAUCCUAGCGUUGUUCGGAAUUAUUGGGCGUAAAGCGGGUGUAGGCGGACUUAUAAGUCAGGUGUGAAAUCCCAGGGCUCAACCCUGGAAGUGCACUUGAUACUGCAAGUCUUGAGUGUGGUAGAGGCUAUUAGAAUUCCUGGUGUAGUGGUGAAAUACGUAGAUAUCAGGAGGAAUACCGGAGGCGAAGGCGGAUAGCUGGGCCAACACUGACGCUGAGACCCGAAAGCGUGGGGAUCAAACAGGAUUAGAUACCCCCGUAGUCCCUGAGCGGGCUGGCAAGGCG
rnacentral:rRNA from 1 species